rnacentral:pre_miRNA from 1 species
AAAAAGACAAACACUGGCUUUUCGUGUUCAACGUUUUUUAUAAUUAGUAUUUUUAUUGUUGUUAGAUGAUAAAACAUGAUUAUUAUUUUAUGCGUGACUUGUCUAUUUUUUUUAUAAUUUUUUCAAAUAAGACGGGCGGUCAAAUGUUGGACACGGAAAUCCAGGGUUUAUCUUUUU